rnacentral:rRNA from 1 species
GACGAACGCUGGCGGCGUGCUUAACACAUGCAAGUCGAACGGAAAGGCCCUGCUUGCAGGGUACACGAGUGGCGAACGGGUGAGUAACACGUGGGUGAUCUGCCCUGCACUUCGGGAUAAGCCUGGGAAACUGGGUCUAAUACCGGGUAGGAGCCAUUUUUAGUGAGCUGGUUGGAACGUUUUUUCGGUGUAGGAUGAGCUCGCGGCCUAUCGGCUUGUUGGUGGGGUAAUGGCCUACCAAGGCGGCGACGGGUAACCGGCCUGAGAGGGUGGACGGCCACCCUGGGACUGAGGUACGGCCCAGACUCCUACGGGAGGCAGCAGUGGGGAAUAUUGCACGAUGGGCGCAAGCCUGAUGCAGCGACGCCGCGUGGGGGAUGACGGCCUUCGGGUUGUAAACUCCUUUCGCUAGGGACGAAGCUUUUUGUGACGGUACCUAGAUAAGAAGCACCGGCUAACUACGUG